UAAGCGGAGGAAAAGNAACUAACANGGAUUCCCCUAGUAACUGCGAGUGAAGCGGGAAAAGCUCAAAUUUAAANUCUGGUGGUCUUUGGCCAUCCGAGUUGUAAUUUAGAGAAGCGUCUUCCGCGCUGGACCGUGCACAAGUCUCCUGGAAUGGAGCGUCAUAGAGGGUGAGAAUCCCGUCUUUGGCAUGGACACACCAGGGCUUUUGUGAUGCGCUCUCGAAGAGUCGAGUUGUUUGGGAAUGCAGCUCAAAAUGGGUGGUGAACUCCAUCUAAAGCUAAAUAUUGGCGAGAGACCGAUAGCGAACAAGUACCGUGAGGGAAAGAUGAAAAGCACUUUGGAAAGAGAGUGAAACAGUACGUGAAAUUGUUGAAAGGGAAACGCUUGAAGUCAGUCACGUCGACCGAGACUUAGCCUUGCCUCGGCUUGGUGUACUUCUCGGCUGACGGGUCAGCAUCAAUUUUGCCCCUUGGAUAAUGGCGAGGGAAAUGUGACACCUUUAUGGUGUGUUAUAGUCUCUCGUCGCAUGCAAGGGUUGGGAUUGAGGAACUCAGCACGCGCCUUUUGGUGUCGGGGCUUUGCCCACGAUACGUGCUUAGGAUGUUGGCAUAAUGGCUUUAAACGACC
rnacentral:rRNA from 1 species